rnacentral:rRNA from 1 species
AUUGAACGCUGGCGGCAGGCCUAACACAUGCCAGUCGAACGGUAACAGGAAGAAGCUUGCUUCUUUGCUGACGAGUGGCGGACGGGUGAGUAAUGUCUGGGAAACUGCCUGAUGGAGGGGGAUAACUACUGGAAACGGUAGCUAAUACCGCAUAACGUCGCAAGACCAAAGAGGGGGGCCUUCGGGCCUCUUGCCAUCGGAUGUGCCCAGAUGGGAUUAGCUAGUAGGUGGGGUAACGGCUCACCUAGGCGACGAUCCCUAGCUGGUCUGAGAGGAUGACCAGCCACACUGGAACUGAGACACGGUCCAGACUCCUACGGGAGGCAGCAGUGGGGAAUAUUGCACAAUGGGCGCAAGCCUGAUGCAGCCAUGCCGCGUGUAUGAAGAAGGCCUUCGGGUUGUAAAGUACUUUCAGCGGGGAGGAAGGGAGUAAAGUUAAUACCUUUGCUCAUUGACGUUACCCGCAGAAGAAGCACCGGCUAACUCCGUG